GAUGAACGCUGGCGGCGUGCCUAAUACAUGCAAGUCGAGCGAACAGACGAGGAGCUUGCUCCUCUGACGUUAGCGUCGGACGGGUGAGUAACACGUGGAUAACCUACCUAUAAGACUUGGAUAACUUCGGGAAACCGGAGCUAAUACCGGAUAAUAUAUUGAACCGCAUGGUUCAAUAGUGAAAGACGGUUUUGCUGUCACUUAUAGAUGGAUCCGCGCCGCAUUAGCUAGUUGGUAAGGUAACGGCUUACCAAGGCAACGAUGCGUAGCCGACCUGAGAGGGUGAUCGGCCACACUGGAACUGAGACACGGUCCAGACUCCUACGGGAGGCAGCAGUAGGGAAUCUUCCGCAAUGGGCGAAAGCCUGACGGAGCAACGCCGCGUGAGUGAUGAAGGUCUUCGGAUCGUAAAACUCUGUUAUUAGGGAAGAACAAAUGUGUAAGUAACUAUGCACAUCUUGACGGUACCUAAUCAGAAAGCCACGGCUAACUACGUG
rnacentral:rRNA from 1 species